UAACACCAGAGCCACAAGUGGUGAUCAUUUUUAUUGGGUCUAAAGCAUCCGUAGCUGGUUUAAUAAGUCUCUUGUGAAAUCGUUAAGCUUAACUUAACGACGUGCAAGAGAUACUGUCUAACUUGGGACUGGGAGGAGAUAGGAGAAUUCCAGGGGGAACGGUAAAAUGUUAUAAUCCCUGGAGGACUACCGAUGGCGAAGGCACCUAUCUAGAACAGGUCCGACAGUCAGGGAUGAAGGCUAGGAGACCGAUCAGGAUUAGAUACCCUAGUAGCCCUAGCAGUAAACGCUGUGAGCCAGGUGUCACAUAUUCUUCGUGAAUAUGUGGUGCCGUAAUGAAGAUGUUAAGCUCACCACCUGGGAAGUACGGUCGCAAGAUUG
rnacentral:rRNA from 1 species